AACGAACGCUGGCGGCAUGCCUAACACAUGCAAGUCGAACGAGACCUUCGGGUCUAGUGGCGCACGGGUGCGUAACGCGUGGGAACCUGCCCUUAGGUUCGGAAGAACUCCCCGAAAGGGGUGCUAAUACCGGAUAAUGUCUUCGGACCAAAGAUUGAUCGCCUUUGGAUGGGCCCGCGUUGGAUUAGCUAGUUGGUAGGGUAAAAGCCUACCAAGGCGACGAUCCAUAGCUGGUCUGAGAGGAUGAUCAGCCACACUGGGACUGAGACACGGCCCAGACUCCUACGGGAGGCAGCAGUGGGGAAUAUUGGACAAUGGGCGAAAGCCUGAUCCAGCAAUGCCGCGUGAGUGAUGAAGGCCUUAGGGUUGUAAAGCUCUUUUACCCGGGAUGAUAAUGACAGUACCGGGAGAAUAAGCACCGGCUAACUCCGUG
rnacentral:rRNA from 1 species